AUUGGACAGAAGAGAUUGCUGAUUUCGUCAUCUGUGAUACUAUUUUGAACUAACUGGUUCUCUUCUUCAGUCAAAUCCAAUGCAACCUGCUUAGCGAGAAGCUCUCUUUGAAUGUUACCGUAAGCGAAGAAGGGAUCAUCAGGACCAAAACGUCGACGAGUUGGGCUCCAGAACGGAAACCCUAAUUCGAUUUGCCUAUCAAACUCCAUCGCCAUUAAUUUUGAAUUUCAUUCCCUACCUAUGCUUUUGCCGUUUUGCG
rnacentral:misc_RNA from 1 species